UACGGAAUGUGCAAACGUUAUUCGGAAUCACUGGGCUUAAAGAGUCCGUAGGCGGCCUGUUAGGUGAGGUGUGAAGUCCCCCGGCUCAACCGAGGAAUUGCGCUUCAAACCGGCGUGCUUGAGGAAGAUAGAGGUGGGCAGAACUGAUGGUGGAGCGGUGAAAUGCGUUGAUAUCAUCAGGAACACCGGAGGCGAAGGCGGCCCACUGGGUCUUUUCUGACGCUGAGGGACGAAAGCUAGGGGAGCGAACGGG
rnacentral:rRNA from 1 species